AUAAAAAGUUGCAUUUCACUGCCAGAUAUAUAUUGUCCUGAUCCAUGGAAAUCUAUCAGUUUAAAAGACAAAACAGUGUUAUGAGGUUAGUAAAAAAAAUUAAUAGAUGCCUAAUGAUUAAAGUUUUGACUUAAUCUACAAUUAAUAAGAUUUUCCUGUCCGUAGACUUUGAAAGGAAAACACCAACUUCAAGCAGAAAGGCCUUCUGAAGAAUAAUGGAAUUUAUUAAUAUGAGUGUGCUAGAACUGUCAGAAAAACUACCACAGCUAAGAGAAAAUGUCAAGAAACUGAAUGACAGGUUCAUGGCUUUGCUAAACAUCAACCCAAAAAUGCAAAAAGCAAAAGCAGGGACUAAAGGGUACAUCAGCAGUGAUAACUACAGGUACUUUAAGCUAUUUUUUAGAAAAAACCAACAACUUAAGCAGUACAAGGAAUUGAAAAACAGGCUUGAAAAUAAAAAAGACAAGAAAGAUUGGAGCAAAGGGAAAUUUGCUGCUUUGCGGAGACUGUUUAAGAGGCUAAGCACCUGGGGAACCCAACAUAAAGAAGAAAUAGAUGAAGAUCAGGAACUGAUUCCACUAGAUUUAUUUGAUGUUUCCUGUGACACAACAUAGGUUAUAUGAAUUUUCCUUACUCUUCUCCCCCC